rnacentral:rRNA from 1 species
AUGGAGAAUCUUGCUCCUGAAAGCCAGAGCGACAAGGGUGAUGUUAUCUACGAUUCAGACUUGAUCAUGUCGCUCGAGCGCAAGGCCGUGGAUUGGCAUUGCAAGCAGCUGUCCAUUGGGGGUGCCUGGAGGGCUGUGACAUGGACUCGGACAGUUUCGUCCAACUGUUGGCGCCAGACAUGUGCUGCCAAUGUCGCUGACAUCUUGGUUGUCGACGGAUCAGCACAUUCAUCUUUGUUGCCCGGGUUAAAGGGCGAAAAGUUGACAUUCAGGGACCUCUACUCAGCUUUCCCCAUCCUGAGCCCGGAUGGUGACGAUAUUCUUUAUCUCAAAUCAAUGGUGGAACCCAGUAAUAAGGAUGGAUGGGCGGUCGCUGUUGACUUAGGAAACAAGGCAGUGAAAGCAAUUGGCAAGUAUUGUCUUCCGGAUGAUUUUUAUUAUAGCUUCCGUCAUGACCCUGAACAUCCUUUCCGUGUCUGUACAUUGUCCCUGGUAAUUGUCUCCAGGCAUAGAAGUCUCAGCGUGUCGCAAGAUCACAGGGGAUGCUAG